rnacentral:rRNA from 1 species
GAUGAACGCUAGCGGCAGGCCUAACACAUGCAAGUCGAGGGGCAUCGCGGUGCAGCAAUGCACUGGCAGCGACCGGCGUACGGGUGCGUAACGCGUAUGCAACCUGCCCCGCACCGGGGGAUAGCCCGCCGAAAGGCGGAUUAAUACCCCAUGGUCCCGGGGGCCCGCAUGGGCAGUCCGGGUAAAGCCUUGGCGGUGCGGGAUGGGCAUGCGUGCCAUUAGCUGGCUGGUGGGGUAACGGCCCACCAGGGGCAACGAUGGCUAGGGGGUCUGAGAGGAUGGUCCCCCACACUGGUACUGAGACACGGACCAGACUCCUACGGGAGGCAGCAGUGAGGAAUAUUGGUCAAUGGGCGGAAGCCUGAACCAGCCAUGCCGCGUGCGGGAUGAAGGCCCUACGGGUUGUAAACCGCUUUUCCCCGGGAAGAAUAAGCCCCCCGCGGGGGGUGAUGCCGGUACCGGGGGAAUAAGGAUCGGCUAACUCCGUG